rnacentral:rRNA from 1 species
GAUGAACGCUGGCGGCGUGCCUAAUACAUGCAAGUCGAGCGAACGGACGAGAAGCUUGCUUUUUUGAUGUUAGCGGCGGACGGGUGAGUAACACGUGGAUAACCUACCUAUAAGACUGGGAUAACUUCGGGAAACCGGAGCUAAUACCGGAUAAUAUUUUGAACCGCAUGGUUCAGAAGUGAAAGACGGUCUUGCUGUCACUUAUAGAUGGAUCCGCGCUGGAUUAGCUAGUUGGUAAGGUAACGGCUUACCAAGGCAACGAUGCAUAGCAGACCGGAGAGGGGGAUCGGCCACACGGGAACUGAGACACGGUCAAGACUCCUACGGGAGGCAGCAGUAGGGAAUCUUCCGCAAUGGGCGAAAGCCUGCCGGAGCAACGCCGCGUGAGUGAUGAAGGUCUCCGGAUCGUAAAACUCUGUUAUUAGGGAAGAACAUAUGUGUAAGUAACUGUGCACAUCUUGACGGUACCUAAUCAGAAAGCCACGGCUAACUACGUG